AGAAGCUAGUCUAAGAUUUAUAUUGUUAAAAAAAAAAAAGGAAAGUCCGGGACUUAUUUACCAUAAUAUCUUUCAUAUUUUGUAAAAACAAGGGAACUUAAAAGAAAAUAAUCGAUUAUUAUACUUUAUAUAGAUAAUAUAAAUAUAAUAAAUGGCGAACUUAAAAUCCUAUGGUUAGUCAAAGAAAAAAAAAUAAAAUAGUUCGAAUUUAGAUCUGCAGUAGGAUCAGAGAGAUUUGUUCGUUCGUUCUAUUUUAAUAAGAACAAGUGUAAUUAGCAACUAAAACAUAAUCCGGCUUAUUUAAAUCUAGAUAUCUUUU
rnacentral:misc_RNA from 1 species